rnacentral:rRNA from 1 species
GAUGAACGCUAGCGACAGGCUUAACACAUGCAAGUCGAGGGGCAGCGGAGUUGUAGCAAUACAACCGCCGGCGACCGGCGCACGGGUGAGUAACGCGUAUGCAACCUACCUAUCAGAGAGGGAUAGCCCAUUGAAAGAUGGAUUAAUACCUCAUAAAACAGGGGUCCCGCAUGGGAAUAUUUGUUAAAGGAUUAAUUGCUGAUAGAUGGGCAUGCGUUCCAUUAGUUAGUUGGUAGGGUAACGGCUUACCAAGGCAUCGAUGGAUAGGGGUUCUGAGAGGAAGGUCCCCCACACUGGUACUGAGACACGGACCAGACUCCUACGGGAGGCAGCAGUGAGGAAUAUUGGUCAAUGGGCGAGAGCCUGAACCAGCCAAGUCGCGUGAAGGACGACGGCCCUACGGGUUGUAAACUUCUUUUAUAAGGGAAUAAAAAAGAGGACGUGUCCUUUGUUGUAUGUACCUUAUGAAUAAGCAUCGGCUAACUCCGUGCCAGCCGCCGCAGUAACAC